CUGGGGCGGUCGCCUCCUAAAAGGUAACGGAGGCGCUCAAAGGUUCCCUCAGAAUGGUUGGAAAUCAUUCAUAGAGUGUAAAGGCAUAAGGGAGCUUGACUGCGAGACCUACAAGUCGAGCAGGGUCGAAAGACGGACUUAGUGAUCCGGUGGUUCCGCAUGGAAGGGCCAUCGCUCAACGGAUAAAAGCUACCCCGGGGAUAACAGGCUUAUCUCCCCCAAGAGUUCACAUCGACGGGGAGGUUUGGCACCUCGAUGUCGGCUCAUCGCAUCCUGGGGCUGUAGUCGGUCCCAAGGGUUGGGCUGUUCGCCCAUUAAAGCGGUACGCGAGCUGGGUUCAGAACGUCGUGAGACAGUUCGGUCCCUAUCCGUCGUGGGCGUAGGAAAUUUGAGAGGAGCUGUCCUUAGUACGAGAGGACCGGGAUGGACAUACCUCUGGUGUACCAGUUGUCGUGCCAACGGCAUAGCUGGGUAGCUAUGUGUGGACGGGAUAAGUGCUGAAAGCAUCUAAGCAUGAAGCCCCCCUCAAGAUGAGAUUUCCCAACUUCGGUUAUAAGAUCCCUCAAAGAUGAUGAGGUUAAUAGGUUCGAGGUAGAAGCAUGG
rnacentral:rRNA from 1 species